ACCAAUCAGAUGAAGUGGGCGGAGUUCGAUGUCGUUGAUUGAUCGAUUGGGGAG
rnacentral:sRNA from 1 species